GCGGACGUGGUGGAACUGGUAUACACGCAGGCUUGAGGGGCCUGUCUUCGCAAGAGGGUGAGGGUUCGAAUCCCUCCGUCCGCA
rnacentral:tRNA from 1 species